rnacentral:rRNA from 1 species
UGGGGAAUAUUGGACAAUGGGCGCAAGCCUGAUCCAGCAAUACCGCGUGUGUGAAGAAGGCCUGAGGGUUGUAAAGCACUUUCAAUGGGGAGGAAAAAGCGUAGAUUAAUACUCUGCGUAUUGACAUUACCCAUACAAGAAGCACCGGCUAACUCCGUGCCAGCAGCCGCGGUAAUACGGAGGGUGCAAGCGUUAAUCGGAAUUACUGGGCGUAAAGCGUGCGUAGGCGGUUGGCUAAGUCAGAUGUGAAAGCCCUGGGCUCAACCUGGGAAUGGCAUUUGAAACUGGCCGGCUAGAGUGUGAUAGAGGAUGGCGGAAUUCCCGGUGUAGCGGUGAAAUGCGUAGAGAUCGGGAGGAACAUCCGUGGCGAAGGCGGCCAUCUGGAUCAACACUGACGCUGAGGCACGAAAGCGUGGGGAGCAAACAGGAUUAGAUACCCCCGUAGUCCCUGAGCGGGCUGGCAAGGCGCAU